UGGGCAUACACUGUGCGAUUUUUGGAAUCGCGGUAUUCAGCUGCUGCUCAUACUGUACGAGUGAAUCGCAAGGGUUAAAACGUCGCAGCUCACGAUUCCCGUUCUCACACUGUACGAUCCGAUGGUCUGAUGCGAUCUGGCUGCUCACACUACACGACACGUCGGACUCGGUCGGACUGACCGGAAUUGCAAGAAGAAGAAGCCGGAAGUGGGAGAUGCUUGGAUUCUCACAGAUGCUUUCCUGAGAUGAUGCUACUCACCAAAGAAAAGCGCGUUGCUCUGGCAAUUUGUGCCAUUCUGUGUGCAGACAGCAAAAAAAAGAGACGACGGCGACGUGUAUGGACGAGGAAAUGGCUUGGUAGACGUGGGCAGUAUGGCCUGUCAAUUCUUCAACGAGAGCUGGAGGUAAGUAAAUUGUUAUAAUAGCACAUUAGGCCUAUCAGACCCUUUCAGCUCGUGUACACCAACGUGGUCAGUCAAUAAAUCCAUAAGUAGACUACUUGUUAUAGUUCUGUCAACUUUAACUGACUUUCUACUGUUCUGUGUUUGUAGUAGCCUAGGGUAGCCUACAGUAGAUACAAUACAGUUGAAAUGUGAUGGUCUAUCCAAUGACUGCAGCUGUCUAGGGGGAGGAACUAUGCAAACAAUCUUAUUGAUGUGAUGGAGGCAUCAGUUUUACUUUGACAGUUUGUCUUAUUAUACAACAUUUAAAUGUUUUGAUCAGACUCUUAAAUUAACAACGACAUCUAACAUCUAUAAUGCGCCUGUGUUCUGUUUUAUAGGUUAAUGAUAUGAGGGGUUUUCGGGACCUCCUCAGAAUUUCUGUAGAGGAGUUCUAUUUUCUUCUGGAGAGGGUUACUCCUCACAUUGUGAAGCAGGAUACUCACCUCAGGAAGGCCAUCAGCCCUAAGGAGAGGCUUUCUGUUACCCUUAGAUUUUUGGCAACAGGCGAGACCUUCAACUCGUUGAGUUUCCAGUAUAGGAUUGGAAGCACCACACUGAGCAGGAUCGUCAUGGAAACAUGCACAGCCCUUACCUCUGUGUUGCGUGAAGAUUACUUGAAGACACCAUCAACUGAUGCCGAAUGGAAGGCCAUUGCCAGCGACUUUUACCAUAAGUGGCAGUUUCCCCC